rnacentral:rRNA from 2 species
UUGGAUCCAGACUUUGAUCCUGGCUCAGGAUGAACGCUAGCUACAGGCUUAACACAUGCAAGUCGAGGGGAAACGACAUCGAAAGCUUGCUUUUGAUGGGCGUCGACCGGCGCACGGGUGAGUAACGCGUAUCCAACCUGCCCAUCACUUGGGGAUAACCUUGCGAAAGUAAGACUAAUACCCAAUGAUAUCUCUAGAAGACAUCUGAAAGAGAUUAAAGAUUUAUCGGUGAUGGAUGGGGAUGCGUCUGAUUAGCUUGUUGGCGGGGUAACGGCCCACCAAGGCGACGAUCAGUAGGGGUUCUGAGAGGAAGGUCCCCCACAUUGGAACUGAGACACGGUCCAAACUCCUACGGGAGGCAGCAGUGAGGAAUAUUGGUCAAUGGACGAGAGUCUGAACCAGCCAAGUAGCGUGCAGGAUGACGGCCCUAUGGGUUGUAAACUGCUUUUAUAAGGGAAUAAAGUGAGAGUCGUGACUCUUUUUGCAUGUACCUUAUGAAUAAGGACCGGCUAAUUCCGUGCCAGCAGCCGCGGUAAUACGGAAGGUCCGGGCGUUAUCCGGAUUUAUUGGGUUUAAAGGGAGCGUAGGCCGGAGAUUAAGCGUGUUGUGAAAUGUAGACGCUCAACGUCUGCACUGCAGCGCGAACUGGUUUCCUUGAGUACGCACAAAGUGGGCGGAAUUCGUGGUGUAGCGGUGAAAUGCUUAGAUAUCACGAAGAACUCCGAUUGCGAAGGCAGCUCACUGGAGCGCAACUGACGCUGAAGCUCGAAAGUGCGGGUAUCGAACAGGAUUAGAUACCCUGGUAGUCCGCACGGUAAACGAUGGAUGCCCGCUGUUGGUCUGAAUAGGUCAGCGGCCAAGCGAAAGCAUUAAGCAUCCCACCUGGGGAGUACGCCGGCAACGGUGCAACUCAAAUGAAUUGACGGA